rnacentral:rRNA from 1 species
AGUGAACGCUGGCGGUAGGCCUAACACAUGCAAGUCGAACGGCAGCACAGUAAGAGCUUGCUCUUACGGGUGGCGAGUGGCGGACGGGUGAGGAAUACAUCGGAAUCUACUUUUUCGUGGGGGUUAACGUAGGGAAACUUACGCUAUUACCGCAUACGACCUACGGGUGAAAGCAGGGGAUCUUCGGACCUUGCGCGAUUGAAUGAGCCGAUGUCGGAUUAGCUAGUUGGCGGGGUAAAGGCCCACCAAGGCGACGAUCCGUAGCUGGUCUGAGAGGAUGAUCAGCCACACUGGAACUGAGACACGGUCCAGACUCCUACGGGAGGCAGCAGUGGGGAAUAUUGGACAAUGGGCGCAAGCCUGAUCCAGCCAUACCGCGUGGGUGAAGAAGGCCUUCGGGUUGUAAAGCCCUUUUGUUGGGAAAGAAAAGCAGCAGGUUAAUACCCCGCUGUUCUGACGGUACCCAAAGAAUAAGCACCGGCUAACUUCGUG